UCACUUUGCCAGCACAUGUACUAAAAUUGGUACAAUACAGGAAGAUUAGCAUGACUCCUGCACAAGGAUGACAUGCAAAUUUGUGAGGCAUUCCAUAUUUUA